rnacentral:rRNA from 1 species
UACACUCCUGCGGGAGGCAGCAGUGGGGAAUUUUGGACAAUGGGCGAAAGCCUGAUCCAGCAAUGCCGCGUGAGUGAAGAAGGCCUUCGGGUUGUAAAGCUCUUUUGUCAGGGAAGAAACGGUGAAAGCUAAUAUCUUUUGCUAAUGACGGUACCUGAAGAAUAAGCACCGGCUAACUACGUGCCAGCAGCCGCGGUAAUACGUAGGGUGCAAGCGUUAAUCGGAAUUACUGGGCGUAAAGCGUGCGCAGGCGGUUUUGUAAGUCUGAUGUGAAAUCCCCGGGCUCAACCUGGGAAUUGCAUUGGAGACUGCAAGGCUAGAAUCUUGCAGAGGGGGGUAGAAUUCCACGUGUAGCAGUGAAAUGCGUAGAUAUGUGGAGGAACACCGAUGGCGAAGGCAGCCCCCUGGGUCAAGAUUGACGCUCAUGCACGAAAGCGUGGGGAGCAAACAGGAUUAGAAACCCCGGUAGUCCCAU